rnacentral:rRNA from 1 species
GACGAACGCUGGCGGCGUGCUUAAUACAUGCAAGUCGAACGCAAAGGGACGGCUUUGGUCUUCUGCUUGAGUUGCGAACGGGUGAGUAACGCGUAGGUAACCUGCCUGGUACUGGGGGAUAACUUCAGGAAACGAUGGCUAAUACCGCAUGACAACUCUUGUUGCAUGAUAACGGUUUAAAAGUGGCAACUGCUCGAGUACCAGAUGCACCUGCGUUGUAUUAGCUAGUUGGUGAGGUAACGGCACACCAAGGCGAUGAUACAUAGCCGACCUGAGAGGGUGAUCGGCCACACUGGGACUGAGACACGGCCCAGACGCCUACGGGAGGCAGCAGUAGGGAAUCUUCGGCAAUGGACGGAAGUCUGACCGAGCAACGCCGCGUGAGUGAAGAACGUUUUCGGAUCGUAAAGCUCGGUUGUAAGAGAAGAACGAGUGUGAGAGUGGAAAGUUCACACUGUGACGGUAUCUUACCAGAAAGGGACGGCUAACUACGUG